rnacentral:tRNA from 1 species
AGCGGGGUAGGGCAGCCUGGAGUGCCCGCCGGGCUCAUAACCCGGAGGUCGUUGGUUCAAAUCCAAAGAGGGUAAGUCUAACUUGCCUUCGGGAAACCCCCGCUA